GUGCUUGCUUCAGCGGCACAUGUACUAAAAUUGGAACCAUACAGAGAAGAUUAGCAUGGCCCCUACGCAAGGAUGACACACAAGUUUAUGAAGCGUUCCUAUUUUUA